rnacentral:rRNA from 1 species
CCUACGGGUGGCAGCAGUGAGGAAUAUUGGGCAAUGGGCGCAAGCCUGACCCAGCAACGCCGCGUGAAGGAAGAAGGCCCUCGGGUGGUAAACUUCUUUUGUCAGGGACGAAACAAAUGACGGUACCUGACGAAUAAGCCACGGCUAAAUACGUGCCAGCAGCCGCGGUAAUCGGUAGGUGGCAAGCGUUAUGCGGAUUAACUGGGUGUAAAGGGCGUGUAGGUGGGAGAGCAAGUAAGAUGUGAAAUUCCAGGGCGCAACCCUGGAACUGCAUUUGAUACUGUUUUUCUUGAGUGCUGGGGCGGCAGGCGGAAUGCCGGGUGUAGCGGUGAAAUGCGUAGAUAU